GAUGAACGCUGGCGGCGUGCCUAAUACAUGCAAGUCGAGCGAACAGAUAAGGAGCUUGCUCCUUUGACGUUAGCGGCGGACGGGUGAGUAACACGUGGGUAACCUACCUAUAAGACUGGAAUAACUCCGGGAAACCGGGGCUAAUGCCGGAUAACAUUUAGAACCGCAUGGUUCUAAAGUGAAAGAUGGUUUUGCUAUCACUUAUAGAUGGACCCGCGCCGUAUUAGCUAGUUGGUAAGGUAACGGCUUACCAAGGCAACGAUACGUAGCCGACCUGAGAGGGUGAUCGGCCACACUGGAACUGAGACACGGUCCAGACUCCUACGGGAGGCAGCAGUAGGGAAUCUUCCGCAAUGGGCGAAAGCCUGACGGAGCAACGCCGCGUGAGUGAUGAAGGUCUUCGGAUCGUAAAACUCUGUUAUUAGGGAAGAACAAAUGUGUAAGUAACUGUACACGUCUUGACGGUACCUAAUCAGAAAGCCACGGCUAACUACGUG
rnacentral:rRNA from 1 species